GUUCCGUUGGUGAACCAGGCGGGGGGCUCAUCUA
rnacentral:rRNA from 1 species